CAGUCGCCACGGGAAUACAGAGGGUGCGAGCGUUAAUCGGAUUUACUGGGCGUAAAGCGUGCGUAGGCGGCUUCUUAAGUCGGAUGUGAAAUCCCUGAGCUUAACUUAGGAAUUGCAUUCGAUACUGGGAAGCUAGAGUAUGGGAGAGGAUGGUAGAAUUCCAGGUGUAGCGGUGAAAUGCGUAGAGAUCUGGAGGAAUACCGAUGGCGAAGGCAGCCAUCUGGCCUAAUACUGACGCUGAGGUACGAAAGCAUGGGGAGCAAACAGGAUUAGAUAUCCCAGUAGUCCCUGUCUCUUAUAC
rnacentral:rRNA from 1 species